rnacentral:rRNA from 1 species
GGACUACCGGGGUAUCUAAUCCUGUUUGCUCCCCACGCUUUCGCGCCUCAGCGUCAGUCUCGGUCCAGAGCGCCGCCUUCGCCACCGGUGUUCUUCCCAAUAUCUACGAAUUUCACCUCUACACUGGGAAUUCCACGCUCCUCUCCCGAACUCCAGCAAACCCGUUUCGAGCGCACCUCCCAGGUUGAGCCCGGGGCUUUCACACUCGACAAGGUCCGCCGCCUACGCGCCCUUUACGCCCAGUAAAUCCGAACAACGCUCGCCCCCUUCGUAUUACCGCGGCUGCUGGCAC